rnacentral:lncRNA from 1 species
CCAAUUUACCUCAGUGCUAUCCAUUGUCUUUUUCUUUAUUAAGAUGCAGCAAAGCAACAUGAAGAAAAAUGGCACUCUUUUUUUUUCACCGAUUAAAGGAUCCUUGACACAUGGUUAAUAAGCAAUUACAAUCUAGUGGUCAUAUAAUUGUCAAGCUUGUUGUACCUCUAUAUCUUACUCUAAGAUGCAUCAUUUAUCACCAUUGGGUCAUGAGUACCACCUUUUUAUUAGUCUAUUCAAUCAAACUAACUAGUUAG